rnacentral:rRNA from 1 species
CGGGCUCGAACGGCAUAUGACGGACUCAGAGAUGGGAACUCCCUUCGGGGCAUAUGUCGAGGUGCUGCAUGGUUGUCGUCAGCUCGUGUCGUGAGAUGUUGGCUCAAGUGCCAUAACGAGCGCAACCCUUGUCGUUAGUUACCAGCAUGUGAAGAUGGGGACUCUAACGAGACUGCCACCGCAAGGUGUGAGGAAGGCGGGGAUGACGUCAAAUCAGCACGGCCCUUACGUCCGGGGCGACACACGUGUUACAAUGGCGGUCACAGAGGGAAGCCACCCGGCGACGGGGAGCAGAUCUCGAAAAGCCGUCUCAGUUCGGACUGGAGUCUGCAACUCGACUCCACGAAGCUGGAUUCGCUAGUAAUCGCGCAUCAGCCAUGGCGCGGUGAAUACGUUCCCGGGCC